rnacentral:rRNA from 1 species
GUGGGGAAUAUUGGACAAUGGGCGAAAGCCUGAUCCAGCCAUGCCGCGUGUGUGAAGAAGGUCUUCGGAUUGUAAAGCACUUUAAGUUGGGAGGAAGGGCAGUAAGUUAAUACCUUGCUGUUUUGACGUUACCGACAGAAUAAGCACCGGCUAACUUCGUGCCAGCAGCCGCGGUAAUACGAAGGGUGCAAGCGUUAAUCGGAAUUACUGGGCGUAAAGCGCGCGUAGGUGGUUCAGUAAGUUGGAAGUGAAAUCCCCGGGCUCAACCUGGGAACUGCUUUCAAAACUGCUGAGCUAGAGUACGGUAGAGGGUGGUGGAAUUUCCUGUGUAGCGGUGAAAUGCGUAGAUAUAGGAAGGAACACCAGUGGCGAAGGCGACCACCUGGACUGAUACUGACACUGAGGUGCGAAAGCGUGGGGAGCAAACAGGAUUAGAAACCCGGGUAGUCC